CCAGACUCCUACGGGAGGCAGCAGUGGGGAAUAUUGCACAAUGGGGGAAACCCUGAUGCAGCGACGCCGCGUGAAGGACGAAGUAUUUCGGUACGUAAACUUCUAUCAGCAGGGAAGAAAAUGACGGUACCUGACCAAGAAGCCCCGGCUAACUACGUGCCAGCAGCCGCGGUAAUACGUAGGGGGCAAGCGUUAUCCGGAUUUACUGGGUGUAAAGGGAGCGUAGACGGCCGUGCAAGUCUGAUGUGAAAACCCGGGGCUCAACCCCGGGACUGCAUUGGAAACUGCAUGGCUGGAGUGUCGGAGAGGCAAGUGGAAUUCCUAGUGUAGCGGUGAAAUGCGUAGAUAUUAGGAGGAACACCAGUGGCGAAGGCGGCUUGCUGGACGACGACUGACGUUGAGGCUCGAAAGCGUGGGGAGCAAACAGGAUUAGAUACCCCAGUA
rnacentral:rRNA from 1 species